rnacentral:rRNA from 1 species
CCUACGGGAGGCUGCAGUCGAGAAUCUUUCACAAUGGGGGAAACCCUGAUGGUGCGACGCCGCGUGGGGGAAUGAAGGUCUUCGGAUUGUAAACCCCUGUCAUGUGGGAGCAAAUUACAAAAAUAGUACCACAAGAGGCAGAUACGGCUAACUCUGUGCCCGCAGUCGCGGUAAUACAGAGGUCUCUAGCGGUGUUCGCAAGCACUGGAAGUAAAGUGAGCGUGUGCUGUAUUGUUAGUCGUGUGUGCAAGGCGCGGGCUCAACCCGCGGACGGCACAUGAUACUGAGAGAUUAGAGUAAAGGAGGGGCAGCCGGAAUUCGCGGUGUAGCAGUGAAAUGCGUAGAUAUCUGGAGGAACACUGGUGGCGAAGGCGGGUUCCUGGACAGAAACUGACGCUGAGGCACGAAGGCCAGGGGAGCGAAAGGGAUUAGAUACCCCUGUAGUC